rnacentral:RNase_P_RNA from 1 species
UCACAGGCGUGGACGGCCGCCGGCGGGCAACCGCGGGAGGAAAGUCCGGGCUCCGCGGAUCAACGGUGGCGGGUAACGCCCGCCGGGGGCGACCCCAGGGACAGUGCCACAGAAAACAGUCCACCGUCCGGCUUUCGGGUGACGGCCAGGGCGAAACGGGGCGGCAAGAGCGCACCGCGCGGCUGGCAACAGCCGUGGCAGGGCAAACCCCACCGGGAGCAAGACCGAAUAGGCGCGUCAGGCAGGAUCCAGCCGACGGCGCGCGGGUUGGUUGCUGGAGGGUGCGGGCGACCGCAUCCCUAGAGGAAUGGCCGUCCAGGGCGUUCGCGCCCGGACAGAACCCGGCUUACAGCGCCUGUGGUGGG